rnacentral:rRNA from 1 species
GACAUAGGUGGCGAACGUUAUCCGGAAUUAUUGGGCGUAAAGGGCGCGUAGGUGGUCCUGUAUGUCUGCCGUGAAAGCGUACGGCUCAACCGUAUUUUGUCGGUAGAAACUGCAGGACUUGAGGCUGGGAGGGGCUGGUGGAAUUCCCUGUGUAGCGGUGAAAUGCGUAGAGAUGGGGGAGAACACUCGUGGCGAAGGCGGCCAGCUAGACCAGUUCUGACACUGAGGCGCGACAGCGUGGGGAGCAAACAGG